CUUCGAUCUGAGCUGGUGCCUGCCACAUAGUGACUCCCGGUAACCAUCCAUUCGACUUGGUCACCGGGAGUUAAUAUGGGACAGGCCCCUCAGUCGGA
rnacentral:pre_miRNA from 1 species